CAGGAUUAGAUACCCUGGUAGUCCACGCCGUAAACGAUGUCGACUUGGAGGCUGUUCCCUUGAGGAGUGGCUUCCGGAGCUAACGCGUUAAGUCGACCGCCUGGGGAGUACGGCCGCAAGGUUAAAACUCAAAUGAAUUGACGGGGGCCCGCACAAGCGGUGGAGCAUGUGGUUUAAUUCGAUGCAACGCGAAGAACCUUACCUGGCCUUGACAUCCAGAGAACUUUCCAGAGAUGGAUUGGUGCCUUCGGGAACUCUGAGACAGGUGCUGCAUGGCUGUCGUCAGCUCGUGUUGUGAAAUGUUGGGUUAAGUCCCGCAACGAGCGCAACCCUUAUCCUUUGUUGCCAGCGAUUCGGUCGGGAACUCAAAGGAGACUGCCGGUGAUAAACCGGAGGAAGGUGGGGAUGACGUCAAGUCAUCAUGGCCCUUACGGCCAGGGCUACACACGUGCUACAAUGGCGCAUACAAAGAGAAGCGACCUCGCGAGAGCAAGCGGACCUCAUAAAGUGCGUCGUAGUCCGGAUCGGAGUCUGCAACUCGACUCCGUGAAGUCGGAAUCGCUAGUAAUCGUGGAUCAGAACGCCACGGUGAAUACGUUCCCGGGCCUUGUACACACCGCCCGUCACACCAUGGGAGUGGGUUGCAAAAGAAGUAGGUAGCUUAACCUUCGGGAGGGCGCUUACCACUUUGUGAUUCAUGACUGGGGUGAAGUCGUAACAAGGU
rnacentral:rRNA from 1 species